AGCCAAACGCCUCUUUAUGUUUAAACUUUGGGAAUUCAUUUGUAACAUUUCCCUUGGACGAACUAAACAGCUCUCUCGAGUUUUUCUCUCCGUCAUCAAAGAUCUUCAAGGGGUUAAUCCAAGAGAACUAAGUGAAGAGAGUUCUAGGGUUCGGCAGCCAAGAUAAGGCUUCUCUUCCACCUUCAUGUACGAGCUCAUGUUGAAGCUUAUAACAGAUGGAUUGAUUCUUUGUAGUUGAGCUAAAGGUUGAGAAUCAAGGUAUGUAAGGCUAAACAUCUCAAUUUUGGAAUAUCUAUCGGUUUCCUAGAUAUAGAGUUCCAUAUGUUUGAUGUGAUCUCCCUAAGGAUCUAGAUUUAUUCAUAUGUGAAUUGAUAGUCAUUCGUACAUGUUACACCUUAGAAUUUCAAGAAAUUCUAUGUUAGCUCUUUAUGCUAGAACUCGAAGUACAAGAGCGUUAUAAGAUGUCCAGUUCCUACUGGACUGGUGAUGGUGUAGUUCACCCAUAAGCUUGAAUGAGUUCUUUUAUAUGCUUCUUGAAGCUAUACUACAAAUGUUGAAAUAUUAAUUAGCCUUUAGGCUUGAACAAGUUCACUUAUAUGCCUCUCGAGAUUAUGUCGCUUACGGAUCGAAAGAUAGUCAUGUCUGAGUGUUUUAAAUAAGAAAGGUCUAAACGUAUAUAAGUAUCCUCCCAGUUGUACCAGUUUCUUAUGGCCUUCAUGGCCUAGCAGUUUCAGAAGCUCUUCUACGAGUUCGCGUACGUUUAUAUACGUUCUCAAGUGCCUCUAGAGUAUAUCAGUUUCAAAAAGUCUUUUUACGACUUUAUGUACUUCUAUUGAUGUUCUAAAGCUCCAAGUUUCAAUAAGUUCUGUGAGUUUUCUGUAAUAUUUCGUAUGUCUAGAUAUCAUUUAAUUUCACGUUCCUCUACAAAGGAUUUUCAUAAUAUUUCCCUAAAUAGGGGAUUUACUUAUGUUAGUCUUACAGAAUAUUUUUACAGAUACUUCAAGCUAGUGAGCCUUUGAUAUUUUGGCUAUUGAGCCACACAUACGAUUUUAAUAGGUCAGUGAGCCACAUAUAUGUAUAGUUUUAUAGAAAGGGGGCAGUGAGCCAUAUAUACAUACUAUUUUCACAUAGGCUAGCGAGCCAUGUGCAUACUAUUUUCACAGCUUUACAGAAAGAGCCAUAGUGCCAUAGUUUAUAAAUGUUUUGGGAGCACUCUUAGAAACUGAGAAGGUUUGAGCAAGUAAGUCCCAUUCUUGAAGCUACACAUUGCAGGUGUAGGACUAUGAUCGCCACAAAGGUCGGGUGAUUAGUUAGUCUCCCUUGAUUGGGACCAGAAAUUCUCCCUUGUUUGGGAUUGAUCAAAUACUACAUCAUACGUACAUAUACGUCGAACCACGCGACAAUCGCGGUGAGACGGUCUAGAGGAUCGAAUGCCAUGAUGUAUACAUGGUGACUAUAUAUGUCAGUAACUAGGAUCUCCCACAGAAAGAUAUACAUAUGUUCAAAAGAGUUUUUGUUACAAAUAUUUACUGCAUAUUUCCGUACAGUUUCAUUUUAUCCUAUUUCAGACUGAUGCUAUUUAAGAACUGUUUCAUGCUAUGUAUCACACUGUUUUUCAAAGCUAUGACUUAUAUUUAAGUUAAGAUGCCUCUCAGAUAGAUUCCUCUGAUUAGAGUGAGAAGAUGUUCCUCAAUAAUUAUUCUUCAAUUCUUGCUCAAAUUUUGGAAGAUUAAGAAGGGAAACUCACUAGGUCUUCAUCCUAGAGGUAAGAU